GCAAGUCGAACGAACUCUUCGGAGUUAGUGGCAGACGGGUGAGUAACGCGUGGGAACAUACCUUUCGGUACGGAACAACAGUUGGAAACGACUGCUAAUACCGUAUACGCCCUAUGGGGGAAAGAUUUAUCGCCGAGAGAUUGGCCCGCGUUAGAUUAGCUAGUUGGUGAGGUAAUGGCUCACCAAGGCGACGAUCUAUAGCUGGUCUGAGAGGAUGAUC
rnacentral:rRNA from 1 species